rfam:Stegodyphus mimosarum contig110605, whole genome shotgun sequence.
GCCUUCGUGAUGUAACGGUAGCACACUCGGCGCGAAUUCGAGAGGUCCAGGUUCGAGUCCCGGCGAUGGCA